UCCUACGGGGCGCAGCAGUGGGGAAUAUUGCACAAUGGGGGGAACCCUGAUGCAGCGACGCCGCGUGGGUGAAGGAGUAUUUCGGUAUGUAAAGCCCUAUCAGCAGGGAAGAACAAUGACGGUACCUGACUAAGAAGCACCGGCUAAAUACGUGCCAGCAGCCGCGGUAAUACGUAUGGUGCAAGCGUUAUCCGGAAUUACUGGGUGUAAAGGGAGCGUAGACGGCGAGGUAAGCCUGAAGUGGAAGCCCGCGGCCCAACCGCGGAACUGCUUUGGGAACUGCUUUGCUGGAGUAUGGGAGGGGU
rnacentral:rRNA from 1 species